rnacentral:rRNA from 1 species
ACUCAAAUGAAUUGACGGGGACCCGCACAAGCAGCGGAGCGUGUGGUUUAAUUCGAUGCGACGCGAAUAACCUUACCAAGGCUUGACAUGUAUUCGCAACACUCUGAAAGGAGUGCCUCCGCAAGGACGGAUACACAGAUGCUGCAUGGCUGUCGUCAGCUCGUGUCGUGAGAUGUUGGGUUAAGUCCCGCAACGAGCGCAACCCUUGUCCUUAGUUGCAUAUCUAGGGAGACCGCCGGAAACAAACCGGAGGAAGGUGGGGAUGAGGUCAAGUCCGCAUGGCUCUUACGCCUUGGGCUACACACACGCUACAAUGGCCGGUACAACGAGAAGCCACCUCGCAAGGGGGAGCAGACCUACAAAAUCGGCCCCAGUUCAGAUUGCACUCUGAAACUCGAGUGCAUGAAGUCGGAGUUGCUAGUAACCGCGUGUCAGCAUAGCGCGGUGAAUAUGUUCCCGGGUCUUGUACACACCGCCCGU